CAACUCGCCUGCAUGAAGUCGGAAUUGCUAGUAAUCGCAGAUCAGCAUGCUGUGGUGAAUACGUUCCCGGGCCUUGUACACACCGCCCGUCACACCAUGGGAGUCGGUAACACCCAAAGUUGGUAGUCUAACCGCAAGGAGGACGCCGCCUAAGGUGGGAUUGAUGACUGGGGUGAAGUCGUAACAAGGUAUC
rnacentral:rRNA from 1 species